GCGGAAGUGGCGGAACGGCAGACGCGCUAGCCUCAGGAGCUAGUUGGAGCAAUCCAGUGGGGGUUCAAAUCCCCCCUUCCGCACCA
rnacentral:tRNA from 8 species